AACGAACGCUGACGGCAGGCUUAACACAUGCAAGUCGAACGCCCCGCAAGGGGAGUGGCAGACGGGUGAGUAACGCGUGGGAACAUACCCUUUUCUACGGAAUAGCUCUGGGAAACUGGAAUUAAUACCGUAUACGCCCUACGGGGGAAAGAUUUAUCGGGGAAGGAUUGGCCCGCGUUGGAUUAGCUAGUUGGUGGGGUAAAGGCCUACCAAGGCGACGAUCCAUAGCUGGUCUGAGAGGAUGAUCAGCCACAUUGGGGCUGAGACACGGCCCAAACUCCUACGGGAGGCAGCAGUGGGGAAUAUUGGACAAUGGGCGCAAGCCUGAUCCAGCCAUGCCGCGUGAGUGAUGAAGGCCUUAGGGUUGUAAAGCUCUUUCACCGAUGAAGAUAAUGACGGUAGUCGGAGAAGAAGCCCCGGCUAACUUCGUGCCAGCCGCCGCAGUAA
rnacentral:rRNA from 1 species